rnacentral:rRNA from 1 species
AUUGAACGCUGGCGGCAGGCUUAACACAUGCAAGUCGAGCGGAUGAAGGGAGCUUGCUCCUGGAUUCAGCGGCGGACGGGUGAGUAAUGCCUAGGAAUCUGCCUGGUAGUGGGGGAUAACGUCCGGAAACGGGCGCUAAUACCGCAUACGUCCUGAGGGAGAAAGUGGGGGAUCUUCGGACCUCACGCUAUCAGAUGAGCCUAGGUCGGAUUAGCUAGUUGGUGGGGUAAAGGCCUACCAAGGCGACGAUCCGUAACUGGUCUGAGAAGAUGAUCAGUCACACUGGAACUGAGACACGGUCCAGACUCCUACGGGAGGCAGCAGUGGGGAAUAUUGGACAAUGGGCGAAAGCCUGAUCCAGCCAUGCCGCGUGUGUGAAGAAGGUCUUCGGAUUGUAAAGCACUUUAAGUUGGGAGGAAGGGCAGUAAGUUAAUACCUUGCUGUUUUGACGUUACCAACAGAAUAAGCACCGCUAA